AACGCGAAGAACCUUACCUGGGCUCGAACGACUGGUAGUAGUCCCGAUGAAAGUUGGGGCGACCCGCAAGGGAGCCAGCCGAGGUGCUGCAUGGUUGUCGUCAGCUCGUGUCGUGAGAUGUUGGGUUAAGUCCCGCAACGAGCGCAACCCCUAUCCUGUGUUGCUACCCGCAAGGGAGGACUCUCAGGAGACUGCCGCGGAUAACGUGGAGGAAGGUGGGGUCGACGUCAAAUCAUCAUGGCCUUUAUGUCCAGGGCCACACACGUGCUACAAUGGCGUAUACAGAGGGAAGCAAGACCGCAAGGUGGAGCAAAUCCCUAAAGUACGCCCCAGUUCAGAUUGUGGGCUGCAAUUCGCCCACAUGAAGGCGGAAUCGCUAGUAAUCGCAGAUCAGCAGGCUGCGGUGAAUACGUUCCCGGGCCUUGUA
rnacentral:rRNA from 1 species